AUGAAACGGUGAUGUGAACCCGGCCUCAUUAAUGUCCUCUAAACUAAAUGGUGUGUGUGUGUGUGGGGGGGGGGAGAGUUUGGGACCAAAAUGGACAAUUAAAGGGGUAGGUUGCUGGUCCCACCUCUGGGACCCCAAAGUUGAAGGAGAGCCCCGGCAUAUCCACUUUAUAAAAGGGCUUCUGUACUGGGGAUAAUCCCCCACCCAAAGACCUCGAUGUUGCCCCAAAAGAGGUUGUCGGGAUAGGAGCCCUCCUUUAAUUGGUUCUCCAAUCAGGAGAUCAGCCAGUGAUUACUCGGACGAUGGUAUCCGCAGGAGCGCAGUCAUGGAGAAACAGUCAGCAAGUUUUUAACAGGAUCUGAGCUGCCAGAGCAAUUCUGUCCACCCAGAGCGGCUCCUGCCUCGCUGCACCGCACCCACCUCCGGCCUUAUGUCACGUAUGUAGUAACAAGCCAGCGCCCGGCUAAUGCCCUGCCCUAGGGUGCGGGUGGUGGCCACUUCCUCAGUCAGAAUGAUGUAGCAGAUCUGGCCGUUCCCUCCUGAUGACUUGGCGUCAGGAGGACAUUUCCUUCCUCAUAUAGUCCCGCAGCCUCUAUAUAUAGUCAGGGUCCAGCUGCUGAAGUCCUAGGUCAGUGGAAAUCGAGUCCUCAAGGAUCUCCAAAAGGUCACAGAACAGGACCGCACUGCCCCCUCCCCCACGUCCUCCCUGGGUCACACCUCGUCAGAAUACGGCUCUGUGCACACUGCGUAUGGUGUACACCCGGGACAACCUCCCAGUGUACACGUCAAAUGUAUGCAUAGGAGCAUCUUUUUGGCCUCUAUUGAGCCCCAAAAGCACACCAGACCCUGCUAUUCUAUACAGUGAGCCGCGGCAAGAAAACAUACCAUGCGGUAAUCUUUUUUUAGGGAAGGGGGGGGGGGGGGGAGUUUGGAGACCCCCCUCCUGGGCAGACCUGCGAAGGGAAGCAUACUUACCCGCUUCCUGACGCUGCGCUCUCCGGCCUCUGUCCUGGAUUGGAUAUAAACUUCCGGUUUGAUGUCACUGCAGCCAAUUGCUGGCGACCUGCUCCCCUUGCAUUUGUCAUGAGGCAAUGGAAGCAGGUCACCUCUGCAGCCAGCGAUUGGCUGCAGCUGCGUCCAAAUGGAAGCUUACAUCCAGGGACCCGAGCGGAGCAUUGGGAAGCAGGUAAGUAUGCGUCCCUUCCCAGGUCUGCCUUCCCCCCCCCCCCCCGAACGGGCACAACCCCUUUAAUUUUGUGGCCAAAACACGUGGCACAGUAUGGCCGCCAGACACCUAACACAGUGCCCAAUUGGGGCUGGAAUCGGCCACUCCGGCUAAGGGCAGCCUGAAAAUAGGACGCGAUCGGUCGUUGGCGACGGUCUUCAGAUAUCUGCGGUGAUCGGCCAUGUUGGAGUAUAAGGUCUAUCCAGUGGCUGAAACGCGACGGGUUUGACCGUUCCUUAAUUUGUGCUUCAUCUUCUUUCUCCUAAGGGUUAAUUUACACUGCGGAAUCUGUGCCAAAACUGUAUUCUGCUGCAAAAAAUAAAAAUAUAAAUGUGUUUCUCUUCCGGCCACGGAGACCUUUGGCAUGUGAACUAGCCCUAAACCUGAUGACUGGAUGGCUGCUCAGUCCGUCAACAUCUGAGGGCUAUUGCCACACGUACUGGUUACUGCCGUAAAACGCUGCAUUUUGAUGCAAUUCCAAACGCAAAAAUGGCGGCUACGUGGGUAUAGAUCCUACGCCCAACUAUACAGGCGAAAAUAAAUCCAGCACAAACUAAGACUGGAUCCUUGGUGUAAAGUAGAAGUGACCUAGUUGCCCAUAGCAACCAAUCAGAUCCCACCUUUCAUUUCUCAGCGCUCCUUUGGGAAAUGGAAGCUUGAAUCUGAUUGGUUGCUAUGGGCAACUAAACCAGUUCCUCUUUUCACCAGGAAAAGAUAAAUCUAACCCAGAUAAAUCCAACAUGGCCGACCAUCCUUUCGGCAGAUAUCGCUCCGACAAUCCACUACAGCCAAGGACACGGUGACGGAUCCGUAUCCAGGGUGCGGUCAGAAUGAAAAACACCUACUUUGCACCCUGGUUCUGGAUCUGGAUGAGAUCUUGAUUUAUCCCAGUCAGGAUUUCAGAAGAAGCCUGUGGAGGCAGUGGACAACAGAGAAGCAUUAAAAAGUGACAAAGAGGGCAGCCCCACACUUCAAGGAGAAGAUCUCAUCAUAAAAAUUUGAAUAUGUGACAAAAUAUGUGGAUAUGUAGUGAUACCAGUGACUGAAUAAAGACGAAAGAGGAAAUAAGUGUGA